GGUCUCUAAGAGAGGCCACAAAGCCUUAGUCUUAUCCUCCUAACUACCUUUAAGGUGCUACAACCAUGUGAGACUUAUACACUCUUCUUCCUACAAGGACUACACUAGCUACUGGUCCUCCUAUUUUCUACUAGAAGAACCAUCAUUUUUGCAAUUUUGAUCUCAUCAAGGUGUUUAAAAAUCCCAAUUAGCCUAUGUAACUUGUUUGGCCUUCAAUUCUUGCUCCAUU
rnacentral:lncRNA from 1 species